rnacentral:rRNA from 1 species
AACGAACGCUGGCGGCAGGCUUAACACAUGCAAGUCGAACGCAUCCUUCGGGGUGAGUGGCAGACGGGUGAGUAACGCGUGGGAACGUGCCCUUCAGUUCGGGAUAACCCAGGGAAACUUAGGCUAAUACCGGAUACGUGCGAGAGCAGAAGGAUUUAUCGCUGAAGGAUCGGCCCGCGUCUGAUUAGCUAGUUGGUGGGGUAAUGGCCCACCAAGGCGACGAUCAGUAGCUGGUCUGAGCGGAUGAUCAGCCACAUUGGGACUGAGACACGGCCCAAACUCCUACGGGAGGCAGCAGUGGGGAAUAUUGGACAAUGGGCGCAAGCCUGAUCCAGCCAUGCCGCGUGAGUGAUGAAGGCCUUAGGGUUGUAAAGCUCUUUCGUCCGGGACGAUAAUGACGGUACCGGAAGAAGAAGCCCCGGCUAACUUCGUGCCAGCCGCCGCGGUAA